rnacentral:rRNA from 1 species
UACGUAGGGUGCAAGCGUUAAUCGGAAUUACUGGGCGUAAAGCGUGCGCAGGCGGUUCUCCAAGUCCGUUGUGAAAUCCCCGGGCUUAACCUGGGAACUGCACUUGUGACUGCAAGGCUGGAGUACGGCAGAGGGGGAUGGAAUUCCGCGUGUAGCAGUGAAAUGCGUAGAUAUGCGGAGGAACACCGAUGGCGAAGGCAAUCCCCUGGGCCUGUACUGACGCUCAUGCACGAAAGCGUGGGGAGCAAACAGG